CUUAUAUAGUGUCUAAACCCCUUAAAAAGCGGUGGCUGUAACUAUUUCCUAUAUUGCAGUGUCGUAACAAUUGCUGCCAUUUCAAUGAUUGAGAUGCUUUUCAUAGAGAUGACAUGUACUAUAUCGCGGUGUCAUGACAACUGUUGCAUCGGUGAUAACGCAUAGAUCUGUGGACGUAUCAUCAUAGACCGUCUAACAUUAAAUCUCAUUGUUUAAUAAGCCAACUGCAAUUCCAUUUUAGCAGGCUUCUGUUAUGCUCCAAUGAUGCUUUUUUUUCCUCCAAAUGGUUGAGUGUUGAUGAAGCGGACAAAUGAUUUCUGACCCUUUCAUAUGACAGAGUUCUGAACUCUGUUAUGCCAGUAAACACCAAGGACUUCUAUUUGAAAGAUCAUGCGGGUCACGUGUGGAUUUGCACCCAAGCUUCUGUCCGUUCCAGGAACCGCACUACAAAAUAGAGGGUGAAUGGAAGCAUUCUGUUUAAGCCGUAAGGUGACUGCGGGGACAUUCAUCAAAAUUGGUCCACCGACUGUUGGAGCUAAUACUUCGUUUUAUGUCACUUUUAGAGUUAGUAGUUUGUUUGACUGAAUCAAUAGAUGUUGAACCGUUAUUUACAUUUUCAAUCUAACGAGAAAAGACGAGUGAUAUGCCCUGAUCCACAGAUGUCGCCAUGGCUGUGAUUAGUUUUGUUAUAUUCUACUGAAUUUAUUUGUAUUGCAUCAGAAUUUGUCAAAAUCGUAUGUGUAUUUUCAA